GUUGACAAUCAUUGUCCCCAGUACCAAACUAACCAUAUUACUUCAAGUAAAUCUUGGUUUUGCUGGAUGUCAACCACAUUAGCUAUACUCAAGAUGUGAGUCAAAGAACAAAGCUUCUUAGAAACAGCUCUGUGACCUGCUUCCUCAUGUUAGUUUGACAGCGCUUGAUGGAGGGGCUGUGUUGGCUCACAUUUGCAGCAUGCAAUGGGAUCACAGUUCCCCAGAUGCCAACCUUAACCUAAAUAAAAGCUAAGCCUGUAUCGCUUCAGGGUCAAGUGAAAGACCAUGGCUGUGCUGCCUCAGACCUCAGCGGGUGCCAAUGUGCAGGAGACAACAUAUACACAAGGCAAUGUAAUCAGUAAUUUUUUUUUUUUUGUCUUUUGUCUUUUGUUGUUGUUGUUGUUGUUGUUGUUGCUAUUUCUUGGGCCACUCCCACGGCAUAUGGAGGUUCCCAGGCUAGGGGUCGAAUCGGAGCUAUAGCCACAGGCCUACGCCAGAGAAGAAUAAAAAGGUGUCUAAAGUUAAUUCCAAACUUCGUGCGUUCAUCCCCAAAUAUCUGAGUGGUAUUAUCCCAUGCGUUAGUAUAGCUGUGGUUCCGGAAUGUACGCAGUCAUUCGGUGGGCCAGCUUUAGUGGACUGGAUUGGGUGGGGAAGAAGUACAAAAUCCUUUUAGUACUACUCAUCUCCAAGUCUAAAGUUAUUUUGGUGCCCUGAAACUGCUCAAAGGAACCUGAGGCUUUCGUGUACAAAAAUUCUGAUGUCAAUUUAAUUUUCAACACAUUCAAUCCAAAGAAUAUUAACACACAGCUAGAUUGUUCUUCAGACCAGAUAACUGAAUGUUCUAAUCAAAUUCUCCCAGGGCUAUGAAAUAGCUAAUUCUGUGAAAGGCAAUUGAUUUGAUAAUCAUAGAGGCAUUAGAGGGACUCAUUAAAACAGGCAAGUGUUAGAAAUGAGCUUUUUCUCCAAAUGGCAGCUCUAGCAUCUUUGUAAUUCAACUAAUCCCAUUACACCUACACAAGAACGGAUUCCUCUCUUUAGUAAUGAGCUUCACGAAGGCUAUCAGAACUGGGCAAUGCCGACGCCAGGGUUAGGAGAUCAUUAUGCGAAGUUCUUGGAGCUGGUGCUAUGAGAGUGAGUCAGUCAUUCUCUUUGAGGGUAAGGAUCUUAUGCAUCUACAUUGGGGUGGCCAUUUUUUUCAACAUUUCAGUUUAGUAACUAGUCUAACUAGCUAACCCGUAUUUCUGUUAUCUAUCGCAUUUCUUUCCAACAAGUCGUUUGAGAACUGCGUCUGUGUUAAAACAUACUCACAUGCAGAUUCUGGCCAUUAUUUUAUAGCCAGCACCACCACAAGACCAACAACAGAAGCUAACGAUAACUUACUGUAUGACUUCGUACAGGCCAGUUACUGUGCAAAAGUACAGAGCACUCCAUCAUGCUGGCUAAAAAUCCUAAUCCGAAAACCUACCAACCAGAGAGCUCAAGGGUUAACAAGCUACACAUGUGUCUUAGAAUUCCAGAAAGCAUAGCAACUACCAUUUUGGCAUCUCUGAAGAGGAUGGCCUGAUGCUGGAAAACAAAUAAGCAUAAUCCUUCAUACAUUCCACAAAUAUUCACAGAGGGCCUCCCGUGUGCCAGGCACUGAGCACUAUGCUCCAGAGAUGUUCACUCGGUCCAGGCACAAAAAUGGAUAAACGCUCACAGAGCCACAGCUAGAAAGCGGCGGCAUCAAAAUGAAUAGAAGUGGUGCAUCACACAAGGUCACGUGGCAAAUGGCAUCACCGUUCAUCUCAGCACCCACCCAAGCUGGAAACCCCAGGAUUCCCCCCCUUCCUGCUCCCUCUAUCACCCCCAGAAAACUAGCCAGUUUUCCUGAGUGGCUUCUCUGUCCUGUCCCUUACUUCUCUCUAGUCCCACAGCCUUGCCUUGGUGCAAGCCUAUGUGGGCUUAUUUAUUUAUUUUUUUUUUUGAGGUGAAAUGUACACGAAAUCAAAUUAGCUAUUUUAAAGCUAAUUUAGCUUUAAAUUAGUGUUGUACAAUCACUACCUCUAUCUAGUUCCCAAAUAGUUUUACCAUCCCAAGAAGAAAGCCAGCAGUAUCACUAAGUAGUCCAUUCCUCCCCAACCCCUGGAAACCACUACUGCAUUUGCUGUCUCCAUGGAUUCGCCUCUUCUGGGUGUGUUCUACAAAUGACACCGUACAAUAUGCGACGUAACGUUUUCAGGGUUCCGCCAUGACAUAGCAUGAAUCAGUGCUUCAUUCCCUGUCAUGGCCCACCAGCGUUCUAUUGUCUAGAUGUAGCACAUUCUGCUUGCUCAUUCUUCUGCCCAUGGACAUUUGGGGUGCUAUCACUGUCCGGUUAUCCACAACAAAAGUGUUCUGCAAUGAACACUUAUGUACAAGAAUUUUGUAAUAUCUGUUUUCGAUGCUUUAGGAACAUAACCUUAAGAGUAAAAUUGCUUCUUUUGAGUAGACACCUAGGAGUGGGUUUGUUGGGUCAUGUGGGGAUUCUAGGUUUACCUUUUUGACGAACCCCUCGUAGGCUUUUGAUGGACUCACGUGUUAAGACGGUCACAGUCUCCCUCCCUGAAGCCCCCCCUUCUCUAAUGCCUCCUGUUCACUGCCAGCAGAAGUCUAUGGAUGCCAUCCCACGGUGUACAAACUUCCAUCAGUUCCCCAAUAUGGAAAAGGAUAACUGGCAAUGCCUCAGGACUGUGGACAGCCUCAUGGGCUGGUCCCGACGUGCUGGCCUCCACCUACCUCUCAGUGUACGCUUCCUCCUCCUUGGACUUUCUCUUUCUUCCCCUUUUUCCACUCCUCCAUGCCACUGCCCUAGUCUUCAAUCCGAGAGCCCGCCCUCUUUUUUAGGAAUGUGUCCCUAAUAGAUCAGCAAGCUGAAAGUUCCUUCCAAGUAUGAGCACUGCCUCUCGUGGAGACCCACUCAAAUGCCAUCUCUUUCCAGCUGACUUCAGUGAUCCGCCCUUCCUUUCCCCAACGGGAGACAAUCAUUGCUUUAUCUGCUCUCCCUAGACAUUUUAUCUGGGCCAUUUCCAGGACUUUUGUCCCAAAGGCUCUUCAUCCUAAAGACUUGGGUAGAGAGUCUUAUCUCUUAUCUCUUGCAUAGCAAGUAAAUUCCAUGAGAGCCAAAAUUACAUCGUGCCAACAUUGCCCAUCAUAAUGCUUUGAACACAGGUGGCAUUCAAAGAAUAUUUGAGUGAAAGAAUGAAGGAAUAAAGCCAAAUGAAGCAAUGAAUAGAGUCACUAUAUCAGACCUAAGCAUUUCCUUUGCGUCAUCAAUCAUGCCUAACUUAGGACUCUAGCUGAACAUACAUCAACGGCUUGAUCAUUGAGCCUGGUAUCUGCAGGUGAAUCCCCAAAGGAAACCAUGGUUGACCAGCUGUGUGACUUUGGGCAAGUUACUUAGCCUGGAAGUGCCUCAGUUUCCUCAUCUUCAAAAUGCAAAGUCAGCUAGGUUUGCUCUGAGUAUUAAAAUGAACAUUUAUUACACUCCUAGAAUAGUGCCUGGUCAAUAUUUUACAAGAGCUUAUUAAAUAAAAUAAGUAAAAGAAAUGAGCCAGUUGCUCACACUCUAAAUGAGUGAAACUGAUGAGGACAUGUAGGAGAAACACAGGGUUCUGCAAGCAGCAAAAUAAAGGCAAUUAGGCCCAAGAGCUCCCCAUGUGCAUUCAAAUGCCAUAUUUGGCUGCUGUUGACUAUGUGUUAUGCUUCCGCUUUAUGAGUUUUGGAGGUCUGAAGCCAUCAUAGAGAAGCAUUUUUGAUCUAAUUCGAGUAUUUCACUUUACCCAGUGCUGUCAUGGGGGAGAUAAUUGAUAAUUGCUUGUUGACUGGACGAAUGAAAGUGAUUAGCCAAAACUGGUUACGGCUACCUUGAACCAUGACAUUGGGUAUAAACUAAGAAAAUUAGGCAUAUUGCUAGAUCAAUGACAGCCAUGUACCUAAGUACAAGAAUAUUUCCAAAUAUAUUUACUUCUCAUUCUAAUCAAUUCAUUUCAGUCCCUAGAUCUUCAAGGUGCAGCUAAGUGUUCUUACAAGAACUAGACUCAUUGCUCCCAUUUAGUGGCCCUCUUUCUGCUAUCACUCUUUUCAACAAGCUCCUCUUAGAUCCAUCCCCUAAAAAUAGGCCUUCUCUGAAUAAGCUCAAAUUAUCCAGGGUGUUUUUUGGGGGUGCUUCCCACUAGAGAGCCUCCCAACAACAUCUGGUUUAGUCCUAUAUUUAGAGUGCUGAUGAAUCUUAGAGAUACAUUCAUAAAUUCACCUUCAUCUGCAAAUCUUUAGGGUGCAAAAAACACGAAGCAAAUUAAAAUGUUAUAAAAGGUACACACACAUUCCUUUGUCCACUGUGCAGGAAGCUCACCCACUGAUGUAUGGGGGGCUUUGCUUGCUGGUGAUACGAGAGGUCCCCUUCAUCCCCAUAUCUAGUGGAGGGAGUCCAUCAAAGAGCCCAUCUUCCAACAUUAAUACGCAGGGCUUGACCCAAUUUCAGUGGCUUUGAGAAAACACAUUUUUUUUUUUUAGUUAAACUUUUUAUUUUGACAUCAUUGUACAUUCAAGUUCAGCUUUUAAGACAUAAUAGGGAGAGAGCCUUCUUACACCCUUCCUCUGUAAGAGAGCAGGACCCUAUGGGGCCUUCCCUGGGCAGGCGCUUUCACCAUUCCUCUACGUUAGCUCCUCUCUAAAGUACGGAUAACAGCAUCUGAUGCGCGUUUCCUGAGUUGUUUGAUAGAGGUGACAAUCCCCACGCCCCCGACCAAAUGUAACUACUUGGUGACCAGAACCACAGAGCCCCCCGGGCCUCCUAGAGCCUAAGGACUGAUAGGGUUAAAUGCAGUGACGCUGCCCUGUUAUCUCACCAUCAGCCAAUCAGAGAACUGUGCACGAGCUGAUCACUUACCUUGUGGCACACUCCCCUCCCCAUGCGCCCACCGCCCACCGUGGCUUUUCAAAAUGCUUUGUUUGGGGAAUUCAGGCUUUUGGGGCGGGGCAUGAGCCACUGGUCCCCUUGCAUGGCCCUGCAAUGAACCUGUCUCUGCUCCAAACUCUGACAUUUCGGUUUGUUUGGCCUCACUGUGCUUCGGGCACAGGCACUUGGGUUAAGGCCUCUAGCUUGUCCAGUGGGAACAGCUUGCAUGACUGUAAUAGGCUGUCACAACCAGGAAACUGACACUGAUACCAUAGGAGGACUUUAUUCAGAUUUUAACAGUUUUACGUGCCCUCGUUAGUGUGUGAAUGUGUAUGUGUAUUUAAUUCUAUGCAAUUUUAUCAGAUGUAUAGAUUUAUAGGACUGCCACAACAGUCAAAACACAGAACAGUCUGUCACCAGAAGGGUCCCUCAGGUUACCUACCCCUUUAGAGGAACUCUUGCCUCCCUCUCAAUCUACCACCCUCUUAAAUCUGGCAACCACUAAUCUAUGUUUGUUUGUUUGUUUGUUUGGGGUUUUUGGGCUGCACCUGCAGCAUGCACAAGUUCCCAGGUCAACCCAAGCUACUGCAGUGACAGUGCCAGAUCCUUAACCCGCUGUACCACAAGAGAAUUCCAAUCUGUUCUCCACUUUUAUAAUUUUGUCAUUUCAAGUAUGUUAUAUAAAUGAGAUCAUAGAUCAUGUAGCUUUUUUGGACACAUUUUAUUCACUCAGCAUAAUGUCCCUGAGAUCCACCCAAGCUGUUGAGUGUAUCACUAGCUCAGUCCUUUUUAUUGUUGAGUUGUUUUCUAUGGUAUGACCCAAUGCCACAGUUUGUUUAACCAGAAAUG
rnacentral:lncRNA from 1 species